UACGAAGGGGGCUAGCGUUGCUCGGAAUUACUGGGCGUAAAGCGCACGUAGGCGGAUCGUUAAGUCGGGGGUGAAAUCCCGGAGCUCAACUCCGGAACUGCCUCCGAAACUGGCGAUCUUGAGUCCGGGAGAGGUGAGUGGAACUGCGAGUGUAGAGGUGAAAUUCGUAGAUAUUCGCAAGAACACCAGUGGCGAAGGCGGCUCACUGGCCCGGUACUGACGCUGAGGUGCGAAAGCGUGGGGAGCAAACAGG
rnacentral:misc_RNA from 1 species